rnacentral:snoRNA from 1 species
UUUUCAAUGAUGACAAGUUAGCUACUUUUGAAAUUUUUAAUGAAGAAACUCUUAAAAAAUUCGAUUUGCAUGUCAGUCUGAUCGUAUA